rnacentral:tRNA from 4 species
GCCGAUGUGGUGGAAUUGGUAGACACGCUAUCUUGAGGGGGUAGUGGCGUAAGCCGUGCCGGUUCAACUCCGGCCAUCGGCACCA